UACGUAGGGAGCGAGCGUUGUCCGGAAUUACUGGGUGUAAAGGGUGCGUAGGCGGGCAGUCAAGUCAGGCGUGAAAUCUAUGGGCUUAACCCAUAGCCUGCGUUUGAAACUGAUUGUCUUGAGUGAAGUAGAGGUAAGCGGAAUUCCCGGUGUAGCGGUGAAAUGCGUAGAGAUCGGGAGGAACACCAGUGGCGAAGGCGGCUUACUGGGCUUUUACUGACGCUGAGGCACGAAAGCAUGGGUAGCAAACAGG
rnacentral:rRNA from 1 species